rnacentral:rRNA from 1 species
UACGUAGGGACCGAGCGUUGUCCGGAUUCAUUGGGCGUAAAGAGCUCGUAGGCGGCUGCUCAAGUCGAAUGUGAAAACUCGAGGCUCAACCUCGAGCCUGCAUUCGAUACUGGGCGGCUAGAGUCUGGUAGGGGGAUCUGGAAUUCCUGGUGUAGCGGUGGAAUGCGCAGAUAUCAGGAGGAACACCGGUGGCGAAGGCGGGAUCCUGGGCCAGUACUGACGCUGAGGAGCGAAAGCAUGGGGAGCGAACAGG